rnacentral:ncRNA from 1 species
UUGUUGCAAAAAAGGAAAGAUUGUCAACAUCCCCCUUGAUGAAGAUCAUUUGAUCUAACACAUAAGUGUAGAAUCUCUAAUUCAAAUCAACCUAUUUUU